rnacentral:rRNA from 2 species
AGGUUAAGCUAAUAAGGGCGCACGGAGGAUGCCUAGGCGCCAGGAGCCGAAGAAGGACGCGACGAACAGCGAUAUGCCUCGGGGAGCCGUAAGUGGGCUUUGAUCCGGGGAUUUCCGAAUGGGGAAACCCAGCUGCGGUAAUGCGCAGUUACCCUUGACUGAAUACAUAGGUCAUUGGAGGCAUACCCGGGGAACUGAAACAUCUAAGUACCCGGAGGAGAAGAAAACAAGAGUGAUUCCGUCAGUAGCGGCGAGCGAAAGCGGAUUAGCCCAAACCUAAGAGCUUGCUCUUAGGGGUUGUGGGACGUCUCACAUGGAGUUACAAAGGAGCAGGGUAGACGAAGAGGACUGGAAAGUCCCGUCAAAGAAGGUAACAACCCUGUAGUCGAAAGUCUGCUCCCUCCGAGACGGAUCCCGAGUACCGCGGGACACGAGAAACCCCGUGGGAAUCCGGCAGGACCAUCUGCCAAGGCUAAAUACUCCCUGGCGACCGAUAGUGAACCAGUACCGUGAGGGAAAGGUGAAAAGCACCGCGGGAGCGGAGUGAAAAAGAACCUGAAACCGUGCGCUUACAAGAAGUCAGAGCCCGAUCUAGGGGUGAUGGCGUGCCUUUUGUAGAAUGAACCGGCGAGUUACGUUCACGUGCAAGGUUAAGCUGAAGAGGCGGAGCCGAAGGGAAACCAAGUCUGAAUAGGGCGAAUAAGUACGUGGUCGUAGACCCGAAACCGUGUGAUCUACCCCUGUGCAGGGUGAAGGUGCGGUAACACGCACUGGAGGCCCGAACUCGUGAGCGUUGAAAAGCUCUGGGAUGACGUGGGGGUAGGGGAGAAAUUCCAAUCGAACUCGGAGAUAGCUGGUUCUCCCCGAAAUAGCUUUAGGGCUAGCCUCGAGGUUAAGCAUCAUGGAGGUAGAGCACUGAUUGGGUGCGGGGCCCGCCAAGGGUUACCAAGUCCAGUCAAACUCCGAAUGCCAUGUAUGUAUACUCGGGAGUCAGACGGCGAGUGCUAAGAUCCGUCGUCAAGAGGGAAAGAGCCCAGAUCAUCAGCUAAGGUCCCCAAGUGUGUGUUAAGUGGGAAAGGAUGUGGAGUUGCGAAGACAACCAGGAUGUUGGCUUAGAAGCAGCCACCAUUUAAAGAGUGCGUAAUAGCUCACUGGUCGAGUGACUCUGCGCCGAAAAUGUAACGGGGCUAAACACACCACCGAAGCUAUGGCAUGCAUACUUAGUAUGCUUGGGUAGGGGAGCGUUGUAUGCGGGUAGAAGUCAGACCGUAAGGACUGGUGGACUGCAUAGAAGUGAGAAUGCCGGUAUGAGUAACGAAAAGAUCAGUGAGAAUCUGAUCCGCCGAAAACCUAAGGGUUCCUGGGGAAGGUUCGUCCGCCCAGGGUAAGUCGGGACCUAAGGCGAGGCCGAAAGGCGUAGUCGAAGGACAACAGGUUGAAAUUCCUGUACCACCGUAAAUCGUUACGAGCGAUGGGGGGACGCAGGAGGGCAAGGACGCGAGCGGAUGGAAGAGCUCGUCCAAGCAGCAAGAGGGUAGCAUAGGCAAAUCCGUGCUACGUAACCUCAAGCUGUGAUGGGGAGGGAAAAUUGCAGUACCGAAGGUCCCGUGCUCACGCUGCCAAGAAAAGCCUCUAGCCAGAUGAAGGUGCCCGUACCGUAAACCGACACAGGUGGGUGAGAUGAAUAGUCUAAGGCGCGCGGAAGAACUCUCGUUAAGGAACUCGGCAAAAUGACCCCGUAACUUCGGGAGAAGGGGUGCCCCGGUAGUGUGAAUAGCACGAGGGGGCCGCAGUGAAGAGGCCCAAGCGACUGUUUAGCAAAAACACAGGUCUGUGCGAAGCCGUAAGGCGAAGUAUACGGGCUGACGCCUGCCCGGUGCUGGAAGGUUAAGGGGAGCGGUUAGGGGCAACCCGAAGCUGUGAACCGAAGCCCCAGUAAACGGCGGCCGUAACUAUAACGGUCCUAAGGUAGCGAAAUUCCUUGUCAGGUAAAUUCUGACCCGCACGAAUGGCGUAACGAUCUUGGGCGCUGUCUCAACGAGAGAUCCGGUGAAAUUUUAGUACCUGUGAAGAUGCAGGUUACCCGCGACGUGACGGAAAGACCCCAUGGAGCUUUACUGGAGCUUGAUAUUGAACUUUGGUACGGUCUGUACAGGAUAGGUGGGAGCCUUGGAAGCCUGAGCGCCAGCUUAGGUGGAGGCGCCGUUGGGAUACCACCCUGAUCGUAUCGGAGUUCUAACCUGCCACCCUUAUCGGGUGGAGGGACCGUGUCAGGCGGCCAGUUUGACUGGGGCGGUCGCCUCCUAAAGAGUAACGGAGGCGCCCCAAGGUUCCCUCAGCGCGGUUGGAAAUCGCGCGAAGAGUGCAAAGGCAUAAGGGAGCUUGACUGCGAGACCUACAAGUCGAGCAGGGACGAAAGUCGGGCUUAGUGAUCCGGUGGUACCGAAUGGAAGGGCCAUCGCUCAACGGAUAAAAGCUACCCUGGGGAUAACAGGCUUAUCUCCCCCAAGAGUCCACAUCGACGGGGAGGUUUGGCACCUCGAUGUCGGCUCAUCGCAUCCUGGGGCUGAAGUAGGUCCCAAGGGUUGGGCUGUUCGCCCAUUAAAGCGGUACGCGAGCUGGGUUCAGAACGUCGUGAGACAGUUCGGUCCCUAUCUGUCGCGGGCGUAGGAAAUUUGAGAGGGGCUGUCCUUAGUACGAGAGGACCGGGAUGGACGCGCCGCUGGUGUACCAGUUGUUCCGCCAGGAGCAUCGCUGGGUAGCCAAGCGCGGGAGGGAUAAGCGCUGAAAGCAUCUAAGCGCGAAGCCCGCCUCAAGAUGAGAUUUCCCAGUAUGUAAGACCCCUGGAAGAACACCAGGUUGAUAGGCUCGGGGUGGAAGCGCGGCAACGUGUGCAGCUGACGAGUACUAAUCGGUCGAGGGCUUAUCCUAA